UGGGGGAUCGUCUAAUGGCAGGACUACGGUCUUUGGAACCGUCAAUCGGGGUUCGAAUCCCUGUCCCCCAG
rnacentral:tRNA from 4 species